GGAAGGGCAAGCCAAUUGGAGAUGGCACCUCACUGCUAAUGAGACGAGUCCGUAAAGGGCCUUGCGAGUUCGACCCUCGUCCCUUCCG
rnacentral:tRNA from 1 species